UACGGGGGGGGCAAGCGUUGUUCGGAUUUACUGGGCGUAAAGGGCGCGUAGGCGGUCAGCACAAGUCAGUUGUGAAAUCUCCGGGCUUAACUCGGAAAGGUCAACUGAUACUGUGCGACUAGAGUGCAGAAGGGGCAACUGGAAUUCUCGGUGUAGCGGUGAAAUGCGUAGAUAUCGAGAGGAACACCUGCGGCGAAGGCGGGUUGCUGGGCUGACACUGACGCUGAGGCGCGAAAGCCAGGGGAGCGAACGGG
rnacentral:rRNA from 1 species